AAAUAUAAUCACACCAUGACAUGAACACAUUUAGAACCAUCUGUUCCACUGCAUGUCUUCAAACAAGCUCAUUAGUAUUUGUUCUCAAUAUUGAAUUUCAUAUUUCCUUUUCUUUAUGCAGCAACAACAGACUGAUCAACAUACACCAUUGUGGUAAGGUCAUGCAAUGAACCAUGUCCCCACAGGGUUUUAAGUAAGGGCAAUGAACAAGUAAUGCUGACGCAACUAGCGAUAUCUGACUUGUUCCAGGCUAGGCAGUAGGUGACUACAGUCAAACACCAUUGUUUUGAAGUUAAGGGACCUACUUAUUUGACUAAAGGAAUAUGCAAGAACUAAACUUUUACUGUAAGUUCAACACAUAAAAGUUUGACAACAGUGUUGGAGUGUAUUCCUCAG